GGGCUUAAAUGUAGUCUGACAGGCGUGGAAACAUUGCUUUUCUUCGGACAGAUUACAAGGUGCUGCAUGGUUGUCGUCAGCUCGUGCCGUGAGGUGUCAGGUUAAGUCCUAUAACGAGCGCAACCCUGUUGUUAGUUGCCAGCGAGUAAUGUCGGGAACUCUAGCAAGACUGCCGGUGCAAACCGUGAGGAAGGUGGGGAUGACGUCAAAUCAUCACGGCCCUUACGUCCUGGGCCACACACGUGCUACAAUGGCCAGUACAGAGAGCAGCCACUUGGCGACAAGGAGCGAAUCUAUAAAGCUGGUCACAGUUCGGAUUGGAGUCUGCAACUCGACUCUAUGAAGCUGGAAUCGCUAGUAAUCGGAUAUCAGCCAUGAUCCGGUGAAUACGUUCCCGGGCCUUGUACACACCGCCCGUCAAGCCAUGGAAGCUGGGGGUACCUGAAGUCGGUGACCGCAAGGAGCUGCCUAGGGUAAAACUAGUAACUGGGGCUAAGUCGUAACAAGGUAGGCGUAGUGCU
rnacentral:rRNA from 1 species